rnacentral:rRNA from 1 species
UAACACCGGCAGCUCUAGUGGUAGCAGUUUUUAUUGGGCCUAAAGCGUCCGUAGCCGGUUUAAUAAGUCUCUGGUGAAAUCCUGCAGCUUAACUGUGGGAAUUGCUGGAGAUACUAUUAGACUUGAGAUCGGGAGAGGUUAGAGGUACUCCCAGGGUAGAGGUGAAAUUCUGUAAUCCUGGGAGGACCGCCUGUUGCGAAGGCGUCUGACUGGAACGAUUCUGACGGUGAGGGACGAAAGCUAGGGGCGCGAACCGG